CGCUUAUAUCUUUUUGAUUGUUGCUCAGAAAGCCCUUGACUUAACCAGUUGGCUUUCGAGUAAUAAUCGAAACUAAAUAAGCG
rnacentral:pre_miRNA from 1 species